rnacentral:rRNA from 1 species
UUGAAGAGAGAAUGCCGGAAUGAGUAGCGAGAAAUAGGUGAGAAUCCUAUUGGCCGAAUAUCCAAGGAUUCCAGGGUAAAGCUGAUCUGCCCUGGGUAAGUCGGGGCCUAAGGCGAGGUCGGAAGACGUAGCCGAUGGACAACAGGUGGAGAUUCCUGUACUGCAUAUGGUCAGAACUGUGGGGACACGGGGUGUUAACGGAAGCCGGGAAAGGAAAGACCGGCCCAAGCACAGGAGGCGUUGCGCAGGCAAAUCCGCGCAAUAAGCCAGAGGUGUGACGGGGAGCGAAAUAAAAGUAGCGAAGUCCGGAUACAUGCUGUCAAGAAAAGCCGCUAUUGCGCCAUAUGUACCCGUACCGUAAACCGACACAGGUGGAUGAGGAGAGAAUCCUAAGGCCGGCGGGAGAAGUGUUGUUAAGGAACUCGGCAAAAUGGCCCCGUAACUUCGGGAGAAGGGGCGCCCAGAAAUGGGCCGCAGAGAAAAGGCUCAAGCAACUGUUUAGCAAAAACACAGGUCUAUGCGAAACCGAAAGGUGAGGUAUAUGGGCUGACGCCUGCCCGGUGCUGGAAGGUUAAGGGGAGAGGUUAGCCGCAAGGCGAAGCUUUGAACUUAAGCCCCAGUAAACGGCGGCCGUAACAAUAACGGUCCUAAGGUAGCGAAAUUCCUUGUCGGGUAAGUUCCGACCCGCACGAAAGGCGUAAUGAUUUGAGCACUGUCUCGACAACACACCCGGUGAAAUUGAAAUACCAGUGAAGAUGCUGGUUACCUGCGCCAGGACGGAAAGACCCCAUGGAGCUUUACUCUAGUUUGAUACUGGGACCCGGUAUGACAUGUACAGGAUAGGUGGGAGGCAGAGAAUUAAUGACGCCAGUCAUUAAGGAGCCGGUGUUGGGAUACCACCCUUGUGAUGCCAGGUUUCUAACGAGCUGCCGUGAACCGGCAGGCGGACAAUGUCAGGCGGGGAGUUUGACUGGGGCGGUCGCCUCCGAAAGGGUAUCGGAGGCGCUCAAAGGUUCCCUCAGAAUGGUUGGAAACCAUUCGGAGAGUGCAAAGGCAGAAGGGAGCCUGACUGCGACACCGACGGGUGGAGCAGGUACGAAAGUAGGACUUAGUGAUCCGGUGGUAUAAAGUGGGAUUGCCAUCGCUCAACGGAUAAAAGCUACCCUGGGAUAACAGGCUUAUCACUCCCAAGAGUUCACAUCGACGGAGUGGUUUGGCACCUCGGUGUCGGCUCAUCGCAUCCUGGGGCUGGAGUAGGUCCCAAGGGUUGGGCUGUUCGCCCAUUAAAGCGGUACGCGAGCUGGGUUCAGAACGUCGUGAGACAGUUCGGUCCCUAUCCGGCGCGAGCGUAAGAGAUUUGAGAGGAGCUGUCCUUAGUACGAGAGGACCGGGAUGGACGGACCACUGGUGUAUCUGUUGCACCACCAGGUGCACGGCAGAGUAGCCAAGUCUGGAAGGGAUAAACGCUGAAGGCAUCUAAGCGUGAAGCCCCCCUCAAGAUAAGAUCUCUCAUUCGAAAGACGUAAGACCCCUUGAAGACGACGAGGUAGAUAGGGCAGGGGUGGAAGGGCAGUAAUGUCCGGAGCUGACUGUUACUAAUCGGUCGAGGGCUUGAUC